rnacentral:lncRNA from 1 species
UCAACUACAAUUCUCACAAGAAUCAUGAGUCACCACAGGCAUGCCCCACCUCCUCCACCAGACCCCUUUGCACCGCCCCCACCAGGGCCACCACCACCCCCGUUUUCUGAUCACCGUCCAAUAUUACCACUUCCUAACCCUUUUGCACCACCCCCACCACGUCCGCACAGUCCACCAGGACCACCACCACCUCUGUUUGGGCAUCCUCCACCUCAUCCAGGUCCACCAGGACCUCCUCCACCUCCUGCCCCGGCACGUCAUCCUCCGCCGCCCCCUUAUUAGCUCAUAGCAUACCAAUUUAAAUAGAUUCUCAUUGUAUUUAUCGUAUGAACAAAUAGAAGAAUACAGUAUAUUAUUAUGCACAAUAUUGCUGGAUGUUGUAUCCAUUUUACAUUAUUGUAAUCAUGGCAAUAAAGUUAUAAUAAUCUUUAUUAUACAGUAUUUGAGUCAUUCAUUGUAGCACAUAAAAACUUAGCCACCAUAUUAUCGGCUCAUUAUCGUGCACUCAAUCUCAUGUAUUUUCUUCAAUAGAAACAGAAAUAUAAUUAUAAUUACGUUGUUCAGAAAUAUAUUAGCAUCUCAUAAUAUUGCCUAUAUUGGCAGGUAUAUAAUAGGACAGAAGCGAGAUUUUCAAAACACGAAUGAAACUUAAAGCAUAAUCUUAUCAAUUUAUGUUAUUAUGGCAAUCUCAUUCACACCUACGUGCUGUUUGAUGUUAUGAUUGAGAUAGCUUAAUCAUUAAAUUGAUUUUUUUCUGUUUUUCUUUCAGAACCGAGUAUAAGCAAUUAAGUUCAUGACAUGGGAUCAAAUUCGUUUGAACUUUAGGACAAUAUUGUAGCGCUUGCAUGUUUCGUGCAAGGCAUGUUCUUUUUAAAAAUAAAAGGAUGUUAAAAUUUUAAUUUAUCUUCUCGAUUCAAG